rnacentral:pre_miRNA from 1 species
AGUUAGAAUUUGUCUUUAAGUGGGGGUAAAAGUACUCUUGAAAAAAAAAAUGAUCUUAGAUAGUUUCCCUCUCAAGCCAAGCAUCUUGU